rnacentral:lncRNA from 1 species
GCUGAGUCCAUUCCUGUGUCUCCUCCCUCCCUCCCUCUCUCUCUUACACACACACACACACACCUACCUACAGACCCUUGCACCUGUCUUUGUUCUUUCUGACACAUUGCUCCCUCUCUUCUUUGCCUUCUCCUUCAGAACAACUAAAAUAACAGAGUGGCUAUCCCUGAUCACCCAGUCUAAAGUAGGCUUUUGCUGUUAGUCUGCUCUCUCUGGUUUUGCCUGUCUCUUCCCCAGUAACCUUGGGCUUCUUGAAGGGAGAAGCCAAGUGUUAUUUGGUUCCAUUACUGUAUGCAAAGAGCCUGGCAUAUAAUAAGCCCUCAGAUAAUUCUUUAUAUAUGCAUGUAUUCAUGUAGCUCAUAGUGACCUCAGAAUGCAUCUUUGAAAUGUUAUAUGCCUGUCUCUUAAGAAUUUGCAAUACAAAUAAUCUUUUACACAUUUUUCCAGUUCAUUUCCAAAAUAGCUUCCUAAUAGGACCCCUGAGCAUUGUGUCAGGCAUUAGAAUGUCAUAGAAUGAUGAUCCAUUUGGAAAGAACAGCAAAUAUUUUAUUCAUUCCUUUAUAUCAAGGCAGACUAGCUUUUGAAUAACUCCUGAGAUAUUCCAUCUUCCUUUGGUCGUAUAUGUUUUAUUGUUUGUUUUUUGGUUUGUUUUUUGGUACUGGGAAUUGAACUCAGGGACACUUAACCACUGAGUCAUAUUCCAGCCCUGUUUUGUAUUUUAUUUAGAGACAGGGUCUCACUGAGUUGCUUAGGGCCCUGCUUUAGCUGAGGCUGGCUUUGAACUCGUGAUCCUCCUGCCUCAGUCUCCCAAGCUGUUGGGUUUACAGAUGCGUACCACCAU